AGGAGGAGGAGGAAGCUGAGAGGGAGAGGGCGAGGAGAUCUCGGUCUGCACAUUGCGUCUCCCACAAGCUACUGCGGCGGGAGAAUCCUAUACCCAACAUCCUUCUCAAAGCCUGCAGCUACUACCUCCCCAAGCAAUGCCAACCUGUAGCAACAAGGGUUCAGAUUUAAGAUCUCCAGUGAGCUUCCAUGGGAUUGGCAGGAGAGGAGGAGCAGAGCUGACCAACUCUGCUCAAGAUCACCUUUCUACAACAAUGUAAGCAGCUUCCCUUACGAGGUGUACCACGAGAUCAUACUGUACACGAGUGCUUUGGAGAAAAAAUUCCAUCGUUGUGCUACUGAACCUUGAGGAGCGCCGGGGAGAGAACCCAUUGUAUGCAGAAGCGUGAAGGAGUCCAUACAGUGCAGGCUGGUCAACCGUGAGAUCCAUGCGUUGAAACAUGCAAGCAAAUCAAAUGAAGGAGUGUGGACAAAGUUAUAUAUCAAGCAAAUCGGAUGAAGGCGUGUGGACAAAGUUAUAUAUCUAACAGUCAACCAUGUAGUUUACUAUUAUGCAGUAUGAAAAACAGUGUAAACAAGUUAUCUGAGACUAAUACUGCUAUGGCCUGCUUUUGGUUUCUAUCAUACCAAACCUUGCUUAGGUAUUUCAUGUCACAUUUUAUAACAAAUGCGCUGAUGGCAUGUAGAUAGGGCCAUUUUUUAGAUAUUUUACAGGGUGAUUACUGUUGUGAGUAUCUACCAACAUCUACUCUUUGAGCAAUAUCAGAUAUAU